AUGAUAUUCGCGUUCUAGUUUUUAGAAAAGCAGAAAGUAUAAUGUACACAUCCAAACUGUAACCAGUUAAACAAAAUCAACCAAAGUAAACUAGAUCAACAUACAUGAACUAUUAUAGCAUUCACAUUUUUUAUCACAACCAAACAGAAACUGUUACCAUCUUAGUCAGCACAGAAAGCCUGCUCAGUUCAGUUCUCUAUUCACCGCCAAGCUUCAGUCCUCUCUGUCAUUGAAUUUAUACGGAUCAAGUUGCUUAUUCCUUUUGAUUUACUGUCAUUUCCCACAGACUGAACCACGGUUGACUCUAGAUCAAGUUUCACAACAUCCUUUGUCUGAUUAGAAUCACUCGAUUGGCCUAUCCUUUGUGUGACCUCUUCAAGAUUUG
rnacentral:misc_RNA from 1 species